GGCCUAUUGGCUCAGUUGGUUAGAGUGUCGUGCUAAUAGCGCAAAGGUUGUAUGUUCAAAACUUGCAUGUGCCA
rnacentral:tRNA from 1 species